rnacentral:rRNA from 1 species
AACCAGCACCUCAAGUGGUCAGGAUGAUUAUUGGGCCUAAAGCAUCCGUAGCUCGUUUCUAGUUAGUUUACGUUAACUCAUACGCUUAACGUAUGGGCUGCCGGGAAUACUGCAUAACUAGGAAGUGGGAGAGGUAGACGGUACUCGGUAGGAAGGGUAAAUCCUUUGAUCUAUUGAUGACCACCUGUGGCGAAGGCGGUCUACCAGAACACGUUCGACGGUGA